UGAUACCGGGGUCAAAAGGUUGGAAAUCCGAUGCAAGCUUACUUGCAAGAGGAUUUUUGACCUUGGAACCCGCCAAAAACAUGAAUAAGCAACCAUUUUUCGUAGAAAAAUGAGCGGAUUAUGAAUGUUUCCUAGGAUUGCGGGAGCACGUAGUGCGAAACAAUCCGGUAUCA
rfam:Lachnoclostridium sp. An14 An14_contig_40, whole genome shotgun sequence.